rnacentral:rRNA from 1 species
UACGGAGGGGGUUAGCGUUGUUCGGAAUUACUGGGCGUAAAGCGUACGUAGGCGGAUCAGAAAGUUGGGGGUGAAAUCCCGGGGCUCAACCCCGGAACUGCCUCCAAAACUCCUGGUCUUGAGUUCGAGAGAGGUGAGUGGAAUUCCAAGUGUAGAGGUGAAAUUCGUAGAUAUUUGGAGGAACACCAGUGGCGAAGGCGGCUACACUGGUGCUCGGAUAACUGACGCUGAGGUACG